UCAAGCUAAUAAGAGCAUAAGGUGAAUGCCUUGGCAUCAAGAACCGAUGAAGGACGUAAAAAGCUGCGAUAAGCUUCGGGGAGGCGCACAUAGCCAACGAUCCGGAGAUUUCCGAAUGGGGAAACCUAGCUGAGAAAAGCUCAGUUGGCGUACAGUGAAUCAAUAGCUGUGCGUAGGGAACGCUCUGAACUGAAACAUCUAAGUAGGAGCAGGAAGAGAAAGAAACAUCGAUUUCCUAAGUAGUGGCGAACGAACGGGAAACAGGCCAAACCGAGAUACAUGUAUUUCGGGGUUGUGGACUACACCAUGUGAUGGAGGUAAGGUAGUAGAAUUGUUUUGGGAAAGCAAGCCAAAGAAAGUGAAAGCCUUGUAUACGAAACCUGAAGACCCACAGUAGUAUCCAGAGUACAUCGGGACACGUGAAACCCUGAUGGAAGCCGGAGGGACCACCCUCCAAGCCUAAAUAUUCCUUGAUGACCGAUAGCGAAGAAGUACUGUGAAGGAAAGGUGAAAAGAACCCCGGGAGGGGAGUGAAAGAGAACCUGAAACCUUAUGUUUACAAACAGUCGAAGUUUUUCGGAACGACGGCGUACUUUUUGUAGAACGGUCCGGCGAGUUGCAGUGACAUGCGAGGUUAAGGAGUACAGCUCCGGAGCCGAAGGGAAACCAAGUCUUAACUGGGCGUCUAGUAUGUUAAUGCAGACCCGAAACCGGGUGACCUAUCCAUGGGCAGGUUGAAGUUACCGUAAAAGGUAAUGGAGGACCGAACUCACAUCUGUUGAAAAAGGUGGAGAUGACCUGUGGAUAGCGGAGAAAUUCCAAUCGAACUCGGAGAUAGCUGGUUCUCCUCGAAAUAGCUUUAGGGCUAGCCUUGAGGUAAAGUCUAAUGGAGGUAAAGCACUGAUUGGACGCGGGUCCCCAAAAGGAUACCAACUUCUAUCAAACUCAGAAUGCCAUAUAGAUAUACUCAGGAGUCAGACUAUGUGAGAUAAGUUUCAUAGUCAAAAGGGAAAGAGCCCAGACCGACAGCUAAGGUCCCAAAGUGUGUGUUAAGUGGAAAAGGAUGUUAGGUUUCUAAGACAACUAGGAUGUUGGCUCAGAAGCAGCCACUCAUUUAAAGAGUGCGUAACAGCUCACUAGUCGAGAGGUCUAGCGCCGAAAAUGUCCGGGGCUAAAACACACCACCGAAGCUACGGAAUUACCUAUGGUAAUUGGUAGAGGAGCAUUCUGUAAGGAUGAAGCACAAUUGAAAGAGAGUGUGGACGAAACAGAAGAGAGAAUGCCGGAAUGAGUAGCGAGAUAUAUGUGAGAAUCAUAUAGGUCGAAUGUCUAAGGUUUCCUGGGUAAAGCUGAUCUGCUCAGGGUAAGUCGGGACCUAAGGUGAGGGCGAGAGCCGUAAUCGAUGGACAACAGGUAGAAAUUCCUGUACUACGUAUAAUCAGAACUGUGGGGACGCAGGAGGAUAGGAAAACCGGAGAAUGGAAAAAUCCGGCUAAGUACAAAGGUGUGAGCAAUAGGCAAAUCCGUUGCUAUAAGCUGAAGUACGAAUGGGAGCGAAGAAAAGUAGCGAAGUUUCUGAAUCCACACUGUCAAGAAAAGCCGCUAUUGCGUUAUACGUACCCGUACCGCAAACCGACACAGGUAGACGAGGAGAAAAUCCACAGACCGACGGGAGAAGUGUUGUUAAGGAACUCGGCAAAAUGACCCCGUAACUUAGGGAUAAGGGGAGCCAACGCAAGUUGGUCACAGAAAAGAGGCUCAAGCGACUGUUUAGCAAAAACAUAGGUCUAUGCGAAACCGUAAGGUGAUGUAUAUGGGCUGACACCUGCCCGGUGCUGGAAGGUCAAAAGGAGAGGUUAGCGUAAGCGAAGCUUUGAAUUCAAGCCCCAGUAAACGGCGGCCGUAACUAUAACGGUCCUAAGGUAGCGAAAUUCCUUGUCAGGUAAGUUCUGACCCGC
rnacentral:rRNA from 1 species